UUUUAAAAUAUCUUCUCUUUUACUUGGCUCUCCCUCCUCCCCGUCCCACAUGCUCGGAUGACCAUUUGAUUUUUCUGAUUACCAACAAAUAUCUAUUGUCUUCUCCCUUACAUCUUCACGUUUUAUUUCUUUCCUCUGCAGAACACAUUUUCUUCUUCCUUUCUCUUCUUAUUCUUCUCCUUAUUUCUCCUUGCCGCAACCUCCUUCUUCACUUGCGUUUCUUCUUUUCUCCUGCUCACACCCACAUCAUUUUGUUCCUCACCAAAAUCACCAUGCCAUAUAUCCUUUUCACCGUCAACCAUCUUCAUCUUCCUUGUGCAACACCAUCACGUUGCCUUCUUUUUCUUGCAGCAAGUCACCGCACCACCAUUACCACCAUGAGCCCAAUAGCCACGAGCUCCUCUCUUAUGGCUGCACCACCGCAGGUCCAGUAACCACCACCACCCUCCUUUCCUCACGAGACAGGCCAUCCCACUACUCAGCCUUCCUCAACGUGCCACACCACCAAGACCAGCAACUGCCGCUCCUCUUUUCCUUGGCCGCGAGCAAGCCACCACCGUGGGUACUCCUUUGUCCUCCGUUUCCGGCGAGGAAAAGCCACCAAUCAAUGAGCUCAACGUCACCACACCACCACCGCAUCACAGCGUGAAGCCGCCACAGCCACCGUGAACAAAACAGAGCAAGAAAAACGUGAAAACAGAGGAGUACGACGCCGCCGACGUCGUCAACUUCGACCUUCGAUUCCGAUGUCAUCGGACCUCCGUUCACAGCGAGGUUAGUACCGUUGGAACCCUUGUGACGCCCACAACAAAACCCAUGUUCCGGUUCGUCAUUCCGUCGCCGUCGACCGCCGCCGCUGCCGCCUUCGGGAGCUUUUUCCGGUCAACUCCGGCAACCGAUGGAAAAACAGAGGAUACUGCUACGAUCCUUGCCGUGAGGAGAGUAAAAUCCUAUUUUCAAUUUCAUAUUUGGGUCAUUUUAUUCGACGACCCCGACGACCAUCGUCGACCUUCGGCUGAACUUUCUGGGCAAAUCAUCGACUCUUUGGGGAAACAGACAGCGCCGUUGAAUUCCUGACCGCGAAAGGAUGAAGGAGCAACCUUCCUUUGUGUCUCCGUCGAUAAUUUCUCCGUCAACCCCGUGAGCCGCAAUUUUCUCUGACGACUCUUCACCGACAAGUUUCAGAAAUUUGAUUUUCAAGUUCAACAACUGAUUCGUGAUGGUUCAACGUUCGGGGAGGACUCGGAGCGAAAUGACUACUACUGAGCCUUCGACGUGGACCCGGACUUCAUGCAGGAUCAGAUGAGGGUCAAUGUUAGGGGUGUAGUAUAUGGGGUGUUGUUGUCAUAGCUCUGAUUGUCAUUUCUUAUUUUGGGGCAGGGUAGGUCCCCGACUAUUAGCUUUUUGUGUGGUUCUCUUCCAUGAGUAUCACAGAGAGUUUGCCGGACAUAGGAGGUCUUUUGGAGGCCGUUCUAGGCUGACUUACUUUCUUGGAGGACUGUAUUUAUAAAGCUUAUGACUCUGACUAUGGGUCGCACUUGUUUGCCCGCGGGCACCACUUUCAGUUACUUUCCGUCACUUGAGGAUACUAGUGACGAUGCUUUUAGUUACAACAGGGUUGUAAUAGUAUUGUGUAUUAGUUUAUGUUUGUCGCACUUUGGGGUUGAGUCUCUAUUUCGAAAAUGUCCUUUAUUCUAAAAAGAAAACGAAAAAAUAAAUAUACCUGCUUUUCCGCUUUAUUUUA